GUGUGUCAAAGGUGUGUGUGGUGGCUCUGUGUACGGAUCUGGUAAUUGGAUUUUCCGUUCUGAAACGGGUAUUGAAAAACAAAAAACGAGUGGUUAUUUGAUUUUCGUUUUAAAAUACAAAAAUUAAAAUUGAAAUACAAGGCGUUUUUCCUUUUCAUGAUCAAAAAGGGAUAUACGAUUUUUUUUUUAAAUGCUUUGAUUUUCGUUUUAUAUUUAGAAUAACAAGAAAGUAAAAUCAGUAAAAAGGUCCGUUUUUUCAUUUUCUGAGACCGGAAGUGGUCAUCAGCAAGUGUGCAGACAAACGACAACAAGAUUCUCAGAGGGCGGAGCCAGAGAGCAGCGAUUGGUCAGACCAUAGAUAAUAUAGAAGACAGCACGCUUCCGUAUCUAGUCUUCUAUGUAUCUAUGGUCUGCACGUCUGGUAGCGUUUCUGGAUGCUGUUGAUCUUGUUUUUGGAGUAAAACACGGUGGAAGCUGAAUUAGUGAGGAUGACUCCUGCUCCUGUCAUCUCUAAGCUCCUCACACAUCUUUACCUGCACAUGAGAAAAAUCACUCAUGUAGAAUGCAGAUGUUCAGAGGGAGAUGAUGCCACAUCUGGUCCAGCUGAUGGAAGGUCUUGAAGUUCUCUGACUGGCCUCGACUGAAGAUGGUCGUCUCACUGGAUUUAAGGUUCAGAUACUCAGUAACAAACUCCACCAAUGAGCCAACAGGGAAGCUUUAGGUUUAUUAAAUGUUGCUAUGAAGGUAUCACUGUUUUUCUUUGUGAAUGCAAUGUGCUCCAACUGAAACUUGAAUUAGAACUUAGAAGUAAAUCUUUCCAUCUGAAAGGAUUUAGUUGCAUUAAUAACCUCACAACAUUCAAAUUUUUAUUCCAGUCUUGGCUGGAAAUAGAAUCUCUGUAUUGAUUCAGGUAAAAACUGAACUUCACAGCAUGUUGGAGCAAAACAACCAGAUGAAAACUGUGAUGGUGUUGGAUUGUCAGACCGUAAUGUUGCAGCUCAAAGCAGCUUUUCUAUCUCAGUUCAUUCUGACAUUCAGCUAUGAAUCAACACAGCAGAUGGUGAUCCAUGCUGUGGAAGUCUCACAUCUCCUGAUUUAAUGGAGCUGCUUUUCACUUUUUACACUGUUUAUUCACCAACACUUUAUUUAAUAAAAGUCCCAUCUAGUUUUCAUGAGGAAUGUGAUGUUUUAAUUUCUCUGAAUAACUGCAGUCUAAUGCAACAGCUGGAGUUGUAACAUCUGUCCUGAUAUUGAUCAUGAAGUAUUGAUCAGAAUACUUAUAGUUAGCAGUCAUCCCUGAAGUUUUACAUUAAAAUCUUUACUUGUGUUGUGAACUUUGGUAAGAAGCAGAAACGUUAGUGUUGCCAUGGAUACAUGAGUGUUAAAUUCUUUCCAUGUUUCCAUUUUGGGAAAUGCAGUCCAGUUCCAGAAUGUUGAGGAAUUUAGUCUCACAAUCACAGACAACAAAUAUUAUCUGAAAGUCGGGUUAUUGUUGUUUAUCAGCACAAUACAAAAUGAUUGAUGUUAGAAAUAUUCCAGUUAAGACUCUAGAAUAUCAUGAUUUAUGUAAAUUUACCUCAAUAAUAUGAAUGUUCAGGUUAAGAUUGUACAGUGAUAUUUAUUAUGCAAGUUUAGCUGAUUAAAGUUUAUGACUCUGCACUAAAAUAUUAUUUAAAUUGACAUCAUUAUUAUAAUAUUUAGGGUCAGACCCUACAGUAUUGAGAUUAAGAAAUCAAAUAUUCUAUAAAAUGUAAAUACACUGAACUCAUUGGGAUAUAUUUAAGUGAGACUCUACAAUAUUAUUUGACACAAAUCUAUCUAAAUCAAAAUUGUAAUAAUUUUCACACCAAACAUUUACUGGACUGAUUUAAACAUUAAAAUCACUCCUUUCUAAUCCUCUGCUGUACGUUCAAACCUGAGGCCUGAAAUAGAAACACACAAGUAUCUGUUUGAAGGAACUUCUGCAGAGUCCUGGUUCCAGAACAUGAUGAUAGAAUUAUAGACAAACUUUAACAAAAGCUGCCUGAGAGUUUACAGGUUUUUAUGUUAGAUUUCUUCAGUAAUUUAAUGAGCGUUAUCAGCAAAAAUCAAGUGUUCAUUUGAUGAACUUCAUUUCCUAAAACAUCCAGAAUUGGUACUCAUAUCUUUGGCAGCUGUAAAGUUUCUGCUCCAAAGUUCACAACACAAUGAAUUAAUUCCUAAAACACUAUCAGUGCUGGAGAGCGUUUGUGAUGCUGAAGCAGUGACCAGUUUUUCUGUUUCUUCUCUGGAGAUGCACAAUGAGGGACGUCUGCAGAGACUGAGAAAGAGUCUCACCACAUCCUGACAUGAGGAAAAAGACUUUAUUGAAGACUACAAUGAGAAAAACUAUCAGACAGCAGACGGCUGCAUUCAAGGUGAGCUCUGAACAUUUGAUCUGGAACAGGAAUUCAGUAACUGCAGCAUGAGCUUCAUUUCAGUCUGUAGCUGCUGAAUUCAUGGAUGAAUCAUCUGGCACUAGAGAGGAAGACCAUCAAACAUCCAUGUCAGCUGAUGGAGGUCCAAGAGUCUCACCAAACAAACAACCUACAGAGUGAAGACCUCAAAUCUGAUUGGACGGCCUCCUAUUCAGCCACGUGUGAACAAAUGCCUCUAAGUUGAUUUGUUUUCUAAAAUAAAUCUAGUUUGAGUCCUAA